rfam:Candidatus Rokubacteria bacterium RIFCSPLOWO2_12_FTLL_71_19 rifcsplowo2_12_scaffold_17744, whole genome shotgun sequence.
GGGCCGUUAGCUCAGUUGGUAGAGCAGCUGACUCUUAAUCAGCGGGUCCAAGGUUCGAGUCCUUGACGGCCCA